rnacentral:pre_miRNA from 13 species
UCCUGCUGUGUUUGGCAAUGGUAGAACUCACACUGGUGAGGUAAUGGGAUCCGGUGGUUCUAGACUUGCCAACUAUGGCCCGAGG